CUAGCCAUAAUUUUAGUUAAGUCGGUAUAUUACUUUAAACUAAGUUAGACGUUACACCAAUCAGGGUCAGACUGUACUAGCAUUUACUACAUUCCGGGUACUUUGUCCCGCCAAAAAAAAAGCUUGGCCCACGCUCCAAUUUUCCAUCGUCGUUGUAACAAGAGUGAGUGCCCGAGUGCGAAUUAAAACUAAAGUAUAUAUUAAUUAAUUUGCCUAAUAAUUAAUUAGUUGAAGCUCAAAUAUUCCACAAUUCCACACCAACUGUACUAGAUAUGGAAGAAACUGCUCGACUACUAUCGCAAUGUGGGCUGGAUUGCUAUUUUGAUACUUUCAAGGAAAAUGCAAUAACGGACGACGCGACGCGAGAAGAUUUGGCAACAAUUGUACCAAUACGAAACUUUGGAAGGAAUUCAGAAGUAGAAAAAUGGCACGAUUUACGUAUGUUUUCAAUGCAAAAAUUCCUAUCACCAUUACUCUCCGAUCACUUUAAAUAUGUGCAUAGGUUAUCAAAGUUAAGGCAAUUAUUUCAUAUUAUUUUUGGUUGUUUUGUAAUUGUGAUUUAAAGAGUUCAAGUGGAUUUAAUUGAAAUAAAUAUAUGCUAAUGAGGA